rnacentral:rRNA from 1 species
GAUGAACGCUGGCGGCGUGCCUAAUACAUGCAAGUCGAGCGAACAGAUAAGGAGCUUGCUCCUUUGACGUUAGCGGCGGACGGGUGAGUAACACGUGGGUAACCUACCUAUAAGACUGGAAUAACUCCGGGAAACCGGGGCUAAUGCCGGAUAACAUUUAGAACCGCAUGGUUCUAAAGUGAAAGAUGGUUUUGCUAUCACUUAUAGAUGGACCCGCGCCGUAUUAGCUAGUUGGUAAGGUAACGGCUUACCAAGGCAACGAUACGUAGCCGACCUGAGAGGGGGAUCGGCCACACUGGAACUGAGACACGGUCCAGACGCCUACGGGAGGCAGCAGUAGGGAAUCUUCCGCAAUGGGCGAAAGCAUGACGGAGCAACGCCGCGUGAGUGAUGAAGGUCUUCGGAUCGUAAAACUCUGUUAUUAGGGAAGAACAAAUGUGUAAGUAACUGUGCACGUCUUGACGGUACCUAAUCAGAAAGCCACGGCUAACUACGUG